rnacentral:rRNA from 1 species
UACAUGGGGUGCAAACGUUGCUCGGAAUUAUUGGGCGUAAAGCGCACGUAGGCGGUUCGUUAAGUCGGAUGUGAAAGCCCUCGGCUCAACUGAGGAAGUGCACCCGAAACUGGCGAGCUUGAGUACGAAAGAGGAUCGCGGAAUUCCCGGUGUAGAGGUGAAAUUCGUAGAUAUCGGGAGGAACACCUGCGGUGUAGACGGCUUACUGGACCGAUAACUGACGCUGAGGCACGAAAGCGUGGGUAGCAAACAGG